CCAAGUCCUUAAGCCCAUGCCCACAUCCUACAUAAAGAAAACUCAAUCCACAAGCCCAAGCCCAAAUCCAAAACCAAACACAAAAUUAGGCCUGGGCUGCAACUCAAAUCUGAGCCCAAAGUCUUCAUGGGCAAGCCCAAUACAAACACCAACAUAGGUAAGCCCAAAACCUAUCUCCAUCACAAAAUUGGGCCUAGUGCCCCAACUCAAGCCCAAGCCCAAACUUCAUCUUCUC
rnacentral:lncRNA from 1 species